rnacentral:ncRNA from 1 species
GCCGCCUGCGGAGAUGGCAUGCCUCCCUGCGGUCGAUCCCGGCGCGUCGCGCGCGGUUCGGCCCUCAACCGCCGGUUGCCCGGCUGAUGAUGCCUGCGUGUUC